UAGGGAAUCUUCCGCAAUGGGCGCAAGCCUGACGGAGCAACGCCGCGUGAGUGAAGAAGGUUUUCGGAUCGUAAAGCUCUGUUGUAAGAGAAGAACAAAUUGGAGAGUAACUGCUCCAGUCUUGACGGUAUCUUACCAGAAAGCCACGGCUAACUACGUGCCAGCAGCCGCGGUAAUACGUAGGUGGCAAGCGUUGUCCGGAUUUAUUGGGCGUAAAGGGGGCGCAGGCGGUUUCUUAAGUCUGAUGUGAAAGCCCACGGCUUAACCGUGGAAGUGCAUUGGAAACUGGGGAACUUGAGUACAGAAGAGGAAAGUGGAACUCCAUGUGUAGCGGUGGAAUGCGUAGAUAUAUGGAAGAACACCAGUGGCGAAGGCGACUUUCUGGUCUGUCACUGACGCUGAGGCCCGAAAGCGUGGGUAGCAAACAGG
rnacentral:rRNA from 1 species